rnacentral:rRNA from 1 species
UACGUAGGGGGCGAGCGUUGUUCGGAAUUACUGGGCGUAAAGGGUGCGUAGGCGGCGCGGUAAGUCGGGUGUGAAAUCUUGGAGCUUAACUCCGAAACUGCAUUCGAUACUGCCGUGCUUGAGGACUGGAGAGGAGACUGGAAUUUACGGUGUAGCGGUGAAAUGCGCAGAUAUCGGGAAGAACCCCCGUGGCUAAGGCGGCUCUCUAGUACGGUACUGACGCUGAGACGCGAAAGCGUGGGGAGCGAACAGG